rnacentral:rRNA from 1 species
UGAACGCUGGCGGCGUGCCUAAUACAUGCAAGUCGAGCGAACGGACGAGAAGCUUGCUUCUCUGAUGUUAGCGGCGGACGGGUGAGUAACACGUGGAUAACCUACCUAUAAGACUGGGAUAACUUCGGGAAACCGGAGCUAAUACCGGAUAAUAUUUUGAACCGCAUGGUUCAAAAGUGAAAGACGGUCUUGCUGUCACUUAUAGAUGGAUCCGCGCUGCAUUAGCUAGUUGGUAAGGUAACGGCUUACCAAGGCAACGAUGCAUAGCCGACCUGAGAGGGUGAUCGGCCACGCUGGAACUGAGACACGGUCCAGACUCCUACGGGAGGCAGCAGUAGGGAAUCUUCCGCAAUGGGCGAAAGCCUGACGGAGCAACGCCGCGUGAGUGAUGAAGGUCUUCGGAUCGUAAAACUCUGUUAUUAGGGAAGAACAUAUGUGUAAGUAACUGUGCACAUCUUGACGGUACCUAAUCAGAAAGCCACGGCUAACUACGUG